AUACGUAGGGGGCGAGCGUUGUCCGGAAUGAUUGGGCGUAAAGGGCGCGUAGGCGGCCCGGUAAGUCUGGAGUGAAAGUCCUGUUUUUAAGAUGGGAAUUGCUUUGGAUACUGUCGGGCUUGAGUGCAGGAGAGGUAAGUGGAAUUCCCCGUGUAGCGGUGAAAUGCGUAGAGAUUGGGAGGAACACCAGUGGCGAAGGCGACUUACUGGACUGUAACUGACGCUGAGGCGCGAAAGUGUGGGGAGCAAACAGGAGUAGAUACCCUGGUAGUCCACACUGUAAACGAUGAAUGCUAGGUGUAGGGGGUAUCGACCCCUUCUGCGACGCAGUCAACACAAUAAGCAUUCCGCCUGGGGAGUACGGCCGCAAGGUUGAAACUCAAAUGAAUUGACGGGG
rnacentral:rRNA from 1 species